GAUUAACGCUGGCGGCGUGCCUAACACAUGCAAGUCGAACGAUGAAACUUAGUAGACUUCUUCGGAAAGACAUUAAGCGGCUUAGUGGCGAACGGGUGAGUAACGCGUGAGUAACCUGCCUUACACAAGGGGAUAGCCUUUGGAAACGAAGAAUAAUACCCUAUAAAACCAUAAAAGCACAUGCUAGAACGGUCAAAGUGAUAGCGGUGUAAGAUGGACUUGCGUCUGAUUAGCUAGUUGGUGAGAUAAAAGCUCACCAAGGCAACGAUCAGUAGCCGGCUUGAGAGAGUGUACGGCCACAUUGGGACUGAGACACGGCCCAGACUCCUACGGGAGGCAGCAGUGGGGAAUUUUGCACAAUGGGGGAAACCCUGAUGCAGCGACGCCGCGUGAUUUAGAAGGCCUUCGGGUUGUAAAAAUCUUUUGUAUAGGAAGAAAAUGACAGUACUAUACGAAUAAGGUCCGGCUAAUUACGUG
rnacentral:rRNA from 1 species